GGCUGGGGGGAUGGGCUGGGCUGGGUACGAAAUGGGAGUGGGCUCCUGGCCCUGCCAACAGCCCCCAGCCCCCACCGUGCCCCGGGCUGGGGCUGGGGCAGCCAGCCUGACACAAACAAACCCCAUGGUGGGAGCAGAGGUGGGACUCCAGAACCUGUGCUGCGGCUGCUUUGCUGUGCAGGCAAGGAAGGGCUUGGGCUGCUCCACUGCCCUUGUUUGCUUUGGGAUCAGCAUUAUUGUGGGGGGCAGUGCAGGGGGGAAGGGAGAAAGCCUGGGCUUCCGUUCCCCGUGUGUGGGUUUUUCCUUGCAUGCAGGGGUUGGGCCUUCCUCAAGGCCCUGGCAGAGAUAAGAUUUUUUUACCUUUUUUCUUGUUUCCCCUUUUUGUCUGUAAUCUAUUUUCAAUAAUUUGUUGUUUGUUUUUCUAGAUGAAGCCUUAUAGGUUGGGUCCAGUCUGGAUCAGGAAGUGCUUGGGACCAGCUGCAGCGUGGAUGGGCCGUGCCCUUGGAGAAGGCUGAGGACAUCGUUUGGGACCAGCUUUUCUUCCAGCAGGGGAGGGCGUGAGCCGGGCUCUGCGGGUGCUGAGGCUGCUCUGGGCUCUGCCAGGGCUCUGCUGGAGCUCAGCACCGGGCUGGAAUCAGCCAAAGAAGAAAUGGUGUGACCUGCAGCACAGACUUGCUUGAGCAUUUUGGCAGCACAGCUCAAGUUUGCAGAGUGUACACCUCCAUGGGAAAAGAUGACACCCCCCAAAAAAUAAAUUUGUUCAAUAACUUCUGAAAUGAAAUCAA